rnacentral:rRNA from 1 species
GGGCGUAAAGAGCUCGUAGGUGGUUCGUUACGUCGGAUGUGAAAAUCUGGGGCUCAACCCCAGACCUGCAUUCGAUACGGGCGAUCUAGAGUGUGGUAGGGGAGACUGGAAUUCCUGGUGUAGCGGUGGAAUGCGCAGAUAUCAGGAGGAACACCAAUGGCGAAGGCAGGUCUCAGGGCCAUUACUGACACUGAGGAGCGAAAGCGUGGGGAGCGAACAGGAUUAGAUACCCUGGUAGUCCACGCCGUAAACGGUGGGCACUAGUUGUGGGAACCUUCCACGGUUUCUGCGACGCAGCUAACGCAUUAAGUGCCCCGCCUGGGGAGUACGAUCGCAAGAUUAAAACUCAAAGGAAUUGACGGGGCCCCGCACAAGCAGCGGAGCAUGCGGCUUAAUUCGACGCAACGCGAAGAACCUUACCAAGGGUUGACAUAUACCGGAAUAUGGCAGAGAUGUCAUAGCUGUAAAAGGUCGGUAUACAGGUGGUGCAUGGUUGUCGUCAGCUCGUGUCGUGAGAUGUUGGGUUAAGUCCCGCAACGAGCGCAACCCUCGUUCUGUGUUGCCAGCAUUUAGUUGGGGACUCACAGGAGACUGCCGGGGUCAACUCGGAGGAAGGUAAU